GUCCCUUCCGUGGACAUCCAAUAAAAUUGGAACGAUACAGAGAAAUUAGCAUGGUUCUUGUGCAAAGAUGACACGCAUAUAUCGAGAAAUAGUCUAAUUUUUU